GAUGAACGCUGGCGGCGUGCCUAAUACAUGCAAGUCGAGCGAACGGACGAGAAGCUUGCUUCUCUGAUGUUAGCGGCGGACGGGUGAGUAACACGUGGAUAACCUACCUAUAAGACUGGGAUAACUUCGGGAAACCGGAGCUAAUACCGGAUAAUAUUUUGAACCGCAUGGUUCAAAAGUGAAAGACGGUCUUGCUGUCACUUAUAGAUGGAUCCGCGCUGCAUUAGCUAGUUGGUAAGGUAACGGCUUACCAAGGCAACGAUGCAUAGCCGACCUGAGAGGGUGAUCGGCCACACUGGAACUGAGAAACGGUCCAGACUCCUAAGGGAGGCAGCAGUAGGGAAUCUUCCGCAAUGGGCGAAAGCCUGACGGAGCAAAGCCGCGUGAGUGAUGAAGGUCUUCGGAUCGUAAAACUCUGGUAUUAGGGAAGAACAUAUGUGUAAGUAACUGUGCACAGCUUGAAGGUAACUAAUCAGAAAGACAAGGCUAAAUAAGUG
rnacentral:rRNA from 1 species